rnacentral:rRNA from 1 species
GAUGAACGCUGGCGGCGUGCCUAAUACAUGCAAGUAGAACGCUGAAGGAGGAGCUUGCUCUUCUGGAUGAGUUGCGAACGGGUGAGUAACGCGUAGGUAACCUGCCUGGUAGCGGGGGAUAACUAUUGGAAACGAUAGCUAAUACCGCAUGACAACAGUUAUUGCAUGAUAACUGUUUAAAAGGGGCAACUGCUCCACUACCAGAUGGACCUGCGUUGUAUUAGCUAGUUGGUGAGGUAACGGCUCACCAAGGCGACGAUACAUAGCCGACCUGAGAGGGUGAUCGGCCAAACUGGGAAUGGGACACGGCCCAGACUCCUACGGGAGGCAGCAGUAGGGAAUCUUCGGCAAUGGACCGAAGUCUGACCGAGCAACGCCGCGUGAGUGAAGAAGGUUUUCGGAUCGUAAAGCUCUGUUGUAAGAGAAGAACGAGUGUGAGAGUGGAAAGUUCACACUGUGACGGUAUCUUACCAGAAAGGGACGGCUAACUACGUG